CGUAGGUAAUCUACCUUUGGGUGGGGAAUAACAGCCGGAAACGGCUGCUAAUACCGCAUAAUGCAGCGGCUCGACAUCGAGACAGUUGUUAAAGCGGGGGAUCGUAAGACCUCGCGCCUAAAGAGGAGCCUGCGGCAGAUUAGCUAGUUGGAAGGGUAACGGCCUACCAAGGCGACGAUCUGUAGCCGGCCUGAGAGGGCGGUCGGCCACACUGACACUGACAUACGGGUCAGACUCCUACGGGAGGCAGCAGUCGGGAAUUUUGGGCAAUGGGCGAAAGCCUGACCCAGCAACGCCGCGUGAAGGAUGAAAUCCCUCGGGAUGUAAACUUCGCAAGAAUGGGAAGAAUAAGGAAGGGUUAAUACUCCUUUUGAUGACGGUACCAUUUGUAAGCUCCGGCUAACUCCGUGCCAGCAGCCGCGGUAAUACGGGGGGAGCAAGCGUUGUUCGGAUUUACUGGGCGUAAAGGGCGCGUAGGCGGCCACUACAAGUCAGUUGUGAAAUCUCCGGGCUUAACUCGGAACGGUCAACUGAUACUGUCGGGCUAGAGUACAGAAGGGGCAACUGGAAUUCUCGGUGUAGCGGUGAAAUGCGUAGAUAUCGAGAGGAACACCUGCGGC
rnacentral:rRNA from 1 species